CUGUCGUCAGCUCGUGUCGUGAGAUGUUGGGUUAAGUCCCGCAACGAGCGCAACCCUCAUCCUUAGUUACCAUCAGGUAAUGCUGGGGACUUUAAGGAAACUGCCAGUGAUAAACUGGAGGAAGGUGGGGAUGAUGUCAAGUCAUCAUGGCCCUUAUGGAGUGGGCUACACACGUGCUACAAUGGUGGCUACAAUGGGCUGCAAAGUCGCGAGGCUAAGCUAAUCCCUUAAAAGCCAUCUCAGUUCGGAUUGUACUCUGCAACUCGAGUGCAUGAAGUUGGAAUCGCUAGUAAUCGUGGAUCAGCACGCCACGGUGAAUA
rnacentral:rRNA from 1 species